ACCAAGGCCUCCCCACCCAAGUUCAGUCUACUCCAGUACUAUUGAUGCUUUAUGUUUGCCAGGUCACCCCAGACUCCUGAGGUUUUGUCUUGAAGCUUUCUCCUCCACUGUGUCCUGGAUACUCAUCUGUGAGGAGCCUGGAGAGAAGACAAGUACUGGCAGAGAGAGGAAAGGAAGAAAAAUUCAGGGCUAUUUCAAGCAUCCAGCAUCACUGAACAACUGAGAUUUGAUCACAUUUUUCUUGAACUUUAAUUUUCACAAUUUGAACUUUAAUUU
rnacentral:lncRNA from 1 species